rnacentral:lncRNA from 1 species
GGAACAAAGGAGGCGAGCGCAGCUGCACGCGCAGGGAGGCCCACAGCGUCCCGGGCUCCUCCUCCCCCGCCGCCGCCGGGGCACACCGCACCUGAACCCCACUCCCCAGGACGCCCCAUUGUUCUCCCUCCGCUUUCCUGCCCGGAGGAAGCCACACCGUGUCUUUCCAGGGGGCCAGGAAACAGCUGUGGGCCAGAGGAAUGGAGGGGCUGUGGGUGAACACGAGGACAGCCGAGAUUCGACUCUGCCCACAGACCAGCAAAGCCAAGGACAGAGAGGUCUUCAGGGAAUACAUGGCUAUGGUGGUUUGAAGACUCCCAUUAGAGAGUGGAUAUUAAUUGCCCUCCUUUUGAAUAUGGUCUGGACUUAGUGAUUUGAUUGUAACAAAUAGAAUACAGCAGAUGUGAUGCUAUGUGACUUCCAAACCUAGGUCAUAAAAGGAGAUAAAGUUUUCACCUGGCUCUCCCUUGCGACACUCACCCUUGGAACCCAGCUGCCAUAUUGUGAGGAAGCUCAAGCCACAGGGAAGUUUUCACCUGGCUCUCCCUUGGGACACUCACCCUUGGAACCCAGCUGCCAUAUUGUGAGGAAGCUCAAGCCACAGGGAAGGCCAUGUGUAGGUGUUUGGGUUGAUGGUGCCAGCUGAGGACCCGGUCUACUGCCAGUACAACUUAUACCAAGCAUGUGAGUUGGCGAGCUUUUGAAAGAACUCCAGCCACAGUCACUGACCACGCUGCCUGAGAGACCUAGAGAGAAAACCUAGCUGAGCCAAAUCAGGCCCCGGAAACAUAAAUAACCAGCACCUCUGCCUGCUUUCCUUACUCAAAUCUUUGAUGAGACCAUCUUUUCAGAAGAGGCAGGUGCAGCACCUCUGGAACCUGCAUUAACUCUCCCAGCAGACAAACAGACACAUUUCUUUCACAAGAGCCACCUCCUUUCUAAUUGAGAAGUCUGUUGCUCUUGGUGUUCUCCGGCCUGCCACGCCUAUG